rnacentral:rRNA from 1 species
AUUGAACGCUGGCGGCAGGCCUAACACAUGCAAGUCGAGCGAGCGGCGGACGGGUGAGUAAUGUAUGGGGACUGCCCGAUAGAGGGGGAUUACUACUGGAAACGGUAGCUAAUACCGCAUACUAUCGGAUAACCCAUAUGGGAUUAGCUAGUAGGUGAGGUAAUGGCUCACCUAGGCGACGAUCCCUAGCUGGUCUGAGAGGAUGAUCAGCCACACUGGCACUGGGACACGGCCCAGACUCCUACGGAGGCAGCAGUGGGGAUUGUUGCACAAUGGGCGCAAGCCUGAUGCAGCCAUGCCGGUGGUAUGAAGAAGGCCCUAGGGUUGGAAGGUACUUUCAGUCGGGAGGCGUUACCGACAGAAGAAGCACCGGCUAACUCCGUGCCAGCAGCCGCGGUAAUAC